rnacentral:rRNA from 1 species
CACACGUGCUACAAUGGCGCAUACAAAGAGAAGCGACCUCGCGAGAGCAAGCGGAUCUCAUAAAGUGCGUCGUAGUCCGGAUUGGAGUCUGCAACUCGACUCCAUGAAGUCGGAAUCGCUAGUAAUCGUGGAUCAGAAUGCCACGGUGAAUACGUUCCCGGGCCUUGUACACACCGCCCGUCACACCAUGGGAGUGGGUUGCAAAAGAAGUAGGUAGCUUAACCUUCGGGAGGGCGCUUACCACUUUGUGAUUCAUGACUGGGGUGAAGUCGUAACAAGGUAACCGUAGGGGAACCUGCGGUUGGAUCACCUCCUUACCUUAAAGAAGC